GGGGAUGUAGCUCAGGGGUACAGCGCUCCCUUAGCAUGUGAGAAUUCUGGGGUUCAAUUCCCCAUAACUCCA
rnacentral:tRNA from 1 species